GCGGGUUGAGCUGUCAAAAGAGGGACUGUCCCUCCGAAAAAGGGACAAUUGGGAGAUAUCCCGGUGGUGAAUUUCAAGUUUUAGGAGGGGCACGGGUAACCGCCAAAGGGAGACAAAGCCGCCGAGGAGAAAGAAGAAAUUGCCAAGGAGGAAAAAGACAUAAGGAAUAUGCCAGUAAGAAGCAGAAGAAAAGAGACAGAUAAAGCAGAAGGGAUGGAAUUGAGAUCAUAAUACAGAAGAAGACACAACAUUUCCCGGGACACUCUCAUGUACAUGGUGAUACGCGCACACCAAGGAAACUGAGCGGCUAUAUUCCGGGGUGCCGAAUGAGAAGCACAUUAAGAGAACAGUGUGGGUACAACCCGGAAGUGUAUAAUUUUAAGUACAUCUAGGGCACUGUGCAGGUGAAGUCCUCUGUGCUUUGUCAUUUAGUACUAUAAACGAAUGAUGCGGGUGGAAUCAGCGGUGCUUAAUUGCGGGUGUGAAGGGGGAGGUCUGUCAGGUGGGCAGGAUGUGAGCUGUGGGUGACAAGUUGCAUUAAGGAGUGAUUACAACGGGGUAAUAGGUUGGCCACAGCAGCAGCUUCACAAUGACAUGUUGACACAUCAGCAUCACAUCACUGUUGCCCUAUCGCCGUUUUUGAGUAUACAAGAAGCAGUGUUUUCAAACAGUAUUUUUUUAAUGAAACAUUAAUAUUAAUAAACUUUAUUCAGGGUAGUUCUAUUAUUAGUGUGGGUAGAAUUGAUUUUUUAAUAAAACAUUUUUUAGUGUUACUGGUCCUUUAAUCGCACAUUGCUUAAUGGGAAGUGGAAUUGUGUUAACUGAGAUCAAUAAUCUAGUCACAAUUUAACUCUUCGUAUUGAAUCUAUAAGCUGUUGACUAGCUUUUCUCUCCUAAUCUUUUAAUUUAUAAUUUUUUUUGGCACAUUAUUUUAACGGUCAUAAGUAAAGGUUACGUUUUAUCUUUAAUUUCAUGGUGGGAAUUCAGAUGGAUAUAGUGGGAGGGUGCAAACCUAUGGGCCAUGCUCUCUCUCUUCUGACCUAAUUGUACAAAAAUGACAGGAGAGUUUAAAAACGUAAUUUGUCCAAAAAACCC